CCUACGGGCGGCAGCAGUGGGGAAUAUUGGACAAUGGGCGAAAGCCUGAUCCAGCCAUGCCGCGUGUGUGAAGAAGGCCUUCGGGUUGUAAAGCACUUUCAGUGGGGAAGAAAGCCUUGGGGCUAAUACCCUCGAGGAAGGACAUCACCCACAGAAGAAGCACCGGCUAACUCCGUGCCAGCAGCCGCGGUAAUACGGAGGGUGCGAGCGUUAAUCGGAAUUACUGGGCGUAAAGCGCGCGUAGGCGGUCUGAUAAGCCGGUUGUGAAAGCCCCGGGCUCAACCUGGGAACGGCAUCCGGAACUGUCAGGCUAGAGUGCAGGAGAGGAAGGUAGAAUUCCCGGUGUAGCGGUGAAAUGCGUAGAGAUCGGGAGGAAUACCAGUGGCGAAGGCGGCCUUCUGGACUGACACUGACGCUGAGGUGCGAAAGCGUGGGUAGCAAACAGGAUUAGCUACCGUGUAGUC
rnacentral:rRNA from 1 species